rnacentral:rRNA from 1 species
UGUAAUUUUUAAUGUUUCUUAGUUUUUUAACUAAAAUAGUUUGGCAGCGAGCGAACCCUAUUAGGGGAAGGUGUGUUAUGAAGGAUGAUCCGCCCACUAAUCUACUUUUAUUAUGUUGGUGUAUAUCUGGUUUGAUAUUAGUGCUUAAUAGCUUAAUUUGUAUAUUUUUAUUUAAGCCAAGUCUAUGUGCUGCCUGUAAAAGGUUUCAUGCGUUACACUUAUAAGUUUUAUGUAAUUAAUUUUGUAAAUUGAGGACUUAAAAGUAAUGUAGUAUUAGUUUGUCUACG